rnacentral:lncRNA from 1 species
CUCACAGAAAAGAAGGGGCUUGGCUCCCCCUCUGAAUCAGCCUCUGGAGUAUCCCCAUAAGUGAAACCAAAUUCGAACCAUUCUAAGUAUUAUAAGAAAGGAAACAUAUAGCUAAGGGAUACCUGAUGAGGAAAGGUGACCGUAACCGAAACACCUCCUUUAGUAUUAGAAAUACAGACCAGAUUUUGAUUUUUUUUCUAAAUAUACACACACACAAUAAAAUCUUUACUACAAGCUUGCAAGUGGAACUUCAAAAAAAAAUCAAAAUAAAUUCAAAAAAAAGUAUUCCAUAAAAACCUUUUCUAACAAGAAAUAUGUAUCCUUCACUGAAUAUACCAGCUUUAAAUAUAUGCACACGAAAAAUGAAAUUAAUUACGAAGGACUAUUAUACGAUAGACUGGAUU